GUUUAAAUAGGAAAAUAAAACAUAAAUUAUAAUGACUCCUAACUGCAUAUAUUUUAAUCUGCCAGAGAAUCAUUUCCAAAUUUGUAGGAAGUUUUUUAGUUUUAGUAAUUCUUAAAAGACAUUCAGAUAAGAUUUUCUCAAAUAUUUUUUAAUUAUUUAGAGCAAAGAUGAUCUGCAAAUUCUAAUGAUAUAAAGUGAAUAGAUAGUCAAAAGAGAUACUGAUCAGUGUAGAAAUUUAUUCCUGUAUUUAUCUUAGUUUGUUUGGUACUACUGUGACAAAACACUUGAGACCGUGUAAUUUAUAAAGAACAGGCAUUUAUUGACUCAGUUCUGGAGGUUGGAAGUCCCAUAUCAAGGAACCAGCAUCUGGCAGGGGCCUUCUUGCUGUGUUAUCACAGGGCAGAAGGGCAAAAGGAGAGCAAGAGGAGAUCAAAUCUCCCUUUUUAUAAUGGCACCAAUCCCACCCAUGAGGGUGGAGACCUGGCCUAAUCAGGCCUUAAAUGUCCUACUUUUUUUUUUUUUUUUUUUUUGAGACAAGAGUCUCCCUCUGUUGCCAAGGCUGGAGUGCUGAGGCAGGAGAAUCACUUGAACCUGGGAGGUGGAGGUUGCAGUGAGCUGAUACCGUGCCACUACACUCCAGCCUGGGCAACAAGACAAAAACUCCGUCUCAAAAAAAAAAAAAUUGUGUUGGUGGGGUGUGGUGAGAUACUUGCAUUGUAUUUUCAAUUAGCAGCAACAUUCUAUGGU
rnacentral:lncRNA from 1 species